rnacentral:rRNA from 1 species
GUGGGGAAUAUUGGCCAAUGGGCGCAAGCCUGAUCCAGCCAUGCCGCGUGAGUGAUGAAGGCCUUAGGGUUGUAAAGCUCUUUCAGUGGGGACGAUAAUGACGGUACCCACAGAAGAAGCACCGGCUAACUUCGUGCCAGCAGCCGCGGUAAUACGAAGGGGGCUAGCGUUGUUCGGAUUUACUGGGCGUAAAGCGCACGUAGGCGGAUCGUUAAGUCGGGGGUGAAACCCUGGAGCUCAACUCCAGAACUGCCUUCAAUACUGGCGAUCUUGAGGCCGGAAGAGGUGAGUGGAACUCCUAAUGUAGAGGUGGAAUUCGUAGAUAUUAGGAAGAACACCAGUGGCGAAGGCGGCUCACUGGUCCGGUACUGACGCUGAGGUGCGAAAGCGUGGGGAGCAAACAGGAUUAGAUACCCGGGUAGUCC